rnacentral:tRNA from 1 species
CAUUAUGAAGCUAAUCAUAGCAUUAACCUUUUAAGUUAAAGAUUAGGAGCUCAAAUCUCCUCAUAAUGA